UAGUCCACGCCGUAAACGAUGAGCACUAGUUGUUGGGGGUUUGACCCCCUCAGUGACAAAGCUAACGCAUUAAGUGCUCCGCCUGGGGAGUACGGUCGCAAGAUUAAAACUCAAAGGAAUUGACGGGGGCCCGCACAAGCGGUGGAUCAUGUGGUUUAAUUCGAAGCUACGCGCAAAACCUUACCUGGGCUUGAAAUCCUGAGAAUCCUCUAGAGAUAGAGGAGUGCCCUUCGGGGAAUUCAGUGACAGGCGCUGCAUGGCUGUCGUCAGCUCGUGUUGUGAAAUGUUGGGUUAAGUCUCGCAACGAGCGCGACCUCUAUCUUUAGUUGCCAGCAUUAAGUUGGGCACUCUAGAGAGACUGCCUGGGUUAACCAGGAGGAAGGUGGGGAUGACGUCAAGUCCUCAUGGCCCUUAUGUCCAGGGCUACACACGUAAUACAAUGGUACACACAAUGGGAAGCGAACUCGCGAGGGGAAGCAAAUCUCAAAAAAGUGUAUCCCAGUCCGGAUUG
rnacentral:rRNA from 1 species